GUUUUCUACUACUAGUCUAGUACUCCCUCGGGUAUGUAAGCACCAACACAUGGACAUGGCCAUGGCCGGGCUAACAAGCUCAACCAACCGACCAAGAAUGGCGCCGGCACCAGGGAGGAAGAGGAAUCCCAGCAUGCACACGUGCCACCUCUGCUUGUGCUUCCUUCUCCUUGCGUCCACCGCCACCCUCUCGGCCGCCGUCACCGCUUCCUCUUACUCCACCGCCUGCCCAUCCCUGCCGCCCGCCCACGACCGCCGCACCGACGCCGACGACGCCCUUUCACUGACCCGCUCCUUCCAGAUCUCCGCCGGCCAGUUUUCUGGUGGCGCUGCCGGCCUGUUUUCCCCUCAAGAUGAUGGUCCCUACAAUGACCGCUCCUUCGCCUUUUUCCCACACGGCAUCUCCCGCACCCAAGACCCGGCUCUCCUCCACCUUACCGCCACCUUCACCCUCACCGGUCUCCGCAGCCCCGGUGGACGCCGCGACAAUUACAGCUUCCCUGCGCCCGUCUCCUUCGUCCUCGACGGCCACUACUCCUCCGCCUCGCUGCAGCUCUGCAUGGUCGGGACGGGCACCGAGCGCGGAGAGGACGGCUCCCUCAAGCACUAUCCCGACGUCGCCCUCCGCCUCCGCGUCCCCAGUCCUCCCACCCUCGCCGAUCCAUUCGUGACCGGCAGUCUGGAGGGCGGCUCCGGCCUUGGGACUUUCCGCCGAGGGCGACGACUACAGGUACGGCUCCGAGCGCGCGGCCUGCAGCCCCAGCCCACCCAAGCACCCGGACAGGGAGUCGCUCCGGGCGCUCGGUGGCCACAACUCCCUGUGCGGCUACCUGAAACAACAGCUCAUGGCCUCGUACGGACUAGAGCACGGCGGCGCUCCGCUUCCCCGGAUGCGCGUGAACCAGAUGCACUGUACCGCGGACGGCGCGGCCGUGCACGUCCGCGCAUAUGCUGUGCUCUCCAACGACACCGGGUCGUCCGAGAGGCGCCGGCACUACCGCCGCCGACGACGCUUCUUGGUACGCGAGGAGGCCGUCGUGGCCGACGGGUACUGGGACUCGGAUCGGCGCAUGCUCUGCCUCACGGCGUGCCGGGUUCCGCUGCCGGUGCCGUCGUCUGCUCCGGCGGUGCAAGAGCACGGAUGCGGGAUCGGGAUGAGCUUCUGGUUCCCUGCCGUAUGGACGAUGCGGGAGCGGAGCAUCGUGUCCGGGAUGCUCUGGAACUCGACCGACGCCGGCUCUGGACUGAUCCACGGCGUGAUAACAGCGUCGAGCAUCGACGACCAAAGAAGCUCCACCAACCUCUCCGACGUGAAGUACAGCUACAACGACACGGUGCUCGACGAGGCCAUGAAGCAUUACCUCAAGAUGAGCAAGGAGAAGAAGAUCACCCCGGGUUCGCACUUGUUCCCGGAUUUUAACACUACUCACCGUGACUUUGAAUUCGGUUUCUACGGGCCGGACAUCGGGAGCGGACACACGGACCCUGUCACAAUCGGCUCGGCGAUGCUCGCCGGCGAGAGGCUGGCCGCCGAUGACGCCUUCUUCGAGCACACGGUGGUGGCCGUGGAAGACAAAGAGCCGGUUCUGCUGAAUGUCAGCUACACCAUACGCUACACUGCCCCACCUGAUAACUGGGUGCGCCCUACCAAUAUGUUCAACUACUCAGUUGGCUAUGAGAAGAGAAAGAUCUCAGCAGAAGGUGUUUAUGAUCCCAACAGGGGCAUCCUCUGCAUGGUCGGCUGCAAGGAGCACAACGGCUCCACGGACUGCCAGACACUGGUAACGGUGCAGUUCGCCUCCCUCGAUUCCAAGACGCAAGACCGACCGCCUCUUCUUCGAGAAGGUCGACUUCACCUCCUAUGGGAUGUACUCCUCGCAAGUGUUUGAGGCCGUAUCGAGGAUGGACAUGGAGAGCGUCCUGCUGCUGGCCUCCACCACGCUGUCGUGCGUCUUCACCAUCCUGCAGAUCCUCCACACAAAGAGGAACCCGGAGGCGGCUGCGGCGACAUCGAUCACCAUGCUCGCCGUGGUCACCAUGGGGUAUCUCGCCCCUCUCGCGCUCAACUCCGAGGCCCUGUUUGCAAGCAGGAGGAGCCAGUACUAUGACUUCUACGACUCCACGACCCGGAGGCUAGAGAUGAACGAGGUCAUGAUGACGGCGCCUACGCUGAUCGCCUUCGUGCUGCAGCUGCGCCUUCUUCAGCUGGCGUGGUCAAGCCGCCGCACAUCCAACGUGUCCGAGAGGACCGUGCUGUGGACAUGCCUGCCAUUGUACGCGCUCGGAGGAGCCUUCGCCGCCAUAAUCCACGGGAUCAACGCCGGUGCCAUGAGCGGCGACCCGUCAAUGAUCAGCAUGGGUGAAGGGCUAGCGACGAUCUGGGAGGACCUUGUGUCGUACGCGGGGCUGAUACUGGAUGGCUUCCUCCUCCCGCAGGUCGUCCUGAACGCGUCCUUAGGAACAUCCAGAGUUGGGGCGAUCUCGCCGUGGUUCUACAUAGGGGGCACCAUGGUCCGUGUGGCGCCUCAUGUGUACGAUGUGGUCAGAGCCCAUAUCUACAAGCCGAGCAUGCACUCCUCUCACCUGUACCGUGGCGACCUCUUCGGCGUCGGGUGGGACGCGGUUAUACCGUGUGGGGCAGUGCUGCUGGCCUUGUUCUUCUUCUUGCAGCAACGGCUCGGAGGCACCGCAUCGCUUCCUUCGCAGAGGAGGAGAUCGGGUGGAUAUGAAAUGGUCUCCAACAUUUAA
rnacentral:rRNA from 1 species